GGGUCAGUAGCUCAAUUGGUAGAGCAGCGGUCUCCAAAGCCGCUCGUUGGGGGUUCGAGUCCCUCCUGGCCUGC
rnacentral:tRNA from 2 species